GGGAAGUGGAGUCAGACAGGAGCCCUACCGAGGCUCCAGUGCCACAGGGCCUGUGACCAGGCUGGGCUGAGGCCAGAGGAAAUGCCAUCCCACCUGCAAGCCUGCUCGACCUCUCCAGACCCAGGAUGGGAGCAUCGAGGAAGAACUACAACUGCCAGCACCACCCCAGCCCCAACUUCAGUCAUGGCCACUCCUCAGAUAAUAGGUCACUGAAGGGACCUCGGUUAUGUAGGGACCCUGGUUAUGCAGGGACCCCACUCCCUCCCUCCAGGUGCAGUGAAUUGGAACACUGGCACUCUGAAAAUGGAAUGUUAUGAACAUGGGGUGGUCUGGAUGUUGGGUACCCCAGGCCCCCUGGAAUUUGGCACUGGGGGCUCUGGGUUUUGGGUCCUCUACAGUGUUGGGUGCUCUGGCACCCUUGACAUUGGGAAUUCAGGACUUUGGGAGCUCAAAGCGAUUGAGGAGUCUGGGUGUUGAAAGCUCUGGAGAUUGGGGCUGCCCCUUGGACAACGCCAAAGUCAAUACUUCCUGUCUAUAUGCCUGAUUUUACCUGGAGCCACUGAGGUCCAGCCCGGAACCCCUGUUCUGAACCCCAUGAUUGGCUUAUGCUGCCCCAAGGCUGGGGUGGCAGGGCUGGGGUGGCGGGGUUACAGGGGUAGAGAAACCACAACAGGAUGGCCUAAGGGGUACCUGGGGCCCCAGAGACAGCUCUCAGAUCUG
rnacentral:lncRNA from 1 species